GGCCCUGGAUUUAGCUUGGGUUGAAGGAAGUUAAAUCUGCAGGUGGGGUCUGUGCCCAAUUUAAGGUGUGAAUCAGCAAACAGGGGCCCCAGCUCCUGUCGGCCGGGUGACCUUUUGCACGCCCUCCUCGAAACUGUGUCGUCGUCUGUGGCCGAGUUUUUAGAUUUUAGAUCGCAAGGUGACUUUAGUGGGCAGUGACUAGCACGUUUUUUCUUUUUUAAGGACCUCACACAGACGCAGUGCAGGGUUCGGGAAUCCCUUGCUUGCCCCUCCGGUCCAACUAAUAAACCAAGUGCGUCGGGGGCUUCCCCGUCCGUUCGUUAGGCCGAGUGCAGCCCCACUUUUACGCAGGAUCAGGACAGCCAGACCCGAGGAGGCAGCGUGGCGUGGCCAUCUCCGGGCCCGGGGCCCCUGCCGGGGGGAAAGGAAGCUAGAGGCCCGGUCUGGGUUGAGCUUAGACCUCAUGCCGGGGGCCGAGCUGGACAUGCAUUCCCAAGAUUUACCCACAAGGGUGCAUAAACACCAGUUCCGAUGAUGGCUGUAUGGGAAGGGACAGAGGGGACCUACUUUAGCCAGGGAAGGGCUGAGGCUGGGACAGUUUCGUUCUGAUAGGAAAGUUGAGAAUUUGACCCUCCUUGCCUGGAAAGUUUACUUCUAUCCACCUCCAUGUGAGGUGAGGGAGCAGGUCAACUGCCUCUCGGAGCACUUGGAACGCAGCAGCCCCAACCCCUAGGCCUUUCUUUGCCCUGCCAGCCCCAGGAUGGCCUGACUGGUGUUCUCUGAGUACAGCUGAGGCACCCAGCUGACUCCCUGAGUGCUGUUUCAAGAACGAAUCCUGUCCCGUCCCUCCCUCCCUGAGGAGGCCAUCAGUCUCCUUGCUGAAACAAUCCCCUAUCCAACUGGCUGAGAAACCAGCUCCUGGUAGACAAGGCAGUACGGUGUUUUUGGAGAGCCCACGCAGGUCUCAUUCUCUCUCCAUUUCUGGGCCUUCAAGUCCUGAGGAUCAGUUUCUGAUGUGGGACAGGGAUACAGCCACCCCUCCCAGGCAGCUGGCAGCAAAACAUGAGAGGAAAACAGCAGAGAGCCUCCCAUUCCUUGGCUGCUGUGGUCAGAGCUCCCACCCUCCAAGAGAAGAUGGUCUUGAGGAUCUAGCUUUACAGUGGCUGCAUGGCCUCCCCUUCCCACCCACCUGCUGGAAGAAGCCAUGCAGGGCCUGGAGUGUGGUGUUCGAGAGGGUAGACAGGUCAGCCAAAGCCACACCUUGCAGAACAUCACCCACCUCUUCAUGAGAGAGGACACUGCUACUCCGGUACCGCAUAAACUGGCCAAGGAAGAGAAGCCCCAAACACCCAGUGAUUUGGCAUCUCCAUCAUAGACAUCUGCUGUGCCCCAACUUUAGGGGACACUGUCCUGAGGCCCACAGAACCUGCCUGCCUUCAAGGAGCUCAGAGUUAGUGGGCAGAGGUGGGGCUAUGUCAUGGGGAAGUGGGGUAAGUAAGGCAAACUGUGAGAUCCUGAGAGAGUUGGCCCUCCUGGCCCCUUUGGCCUUGGCUCCCUCCUCUCCAACAUUGCACUGAACACUCAGGGCCAAAAUCAACUACGUGUGGCUCCCCUGACAUACCACCAUGUGCUCUUGUACCUGUUGUUCUUACUCCACUACCUGGAACACCUUUCCUCCUCUCUGCCUAUUAAUCUCUCAAGCCACAGCUAAAAUGUUUCCUUCACUGCUGAGAAGCUAUUACUCUUUCCUCUUUGUUCCUACACCAACCACUGAUGUACUUGUUGAUCCACUUCGCUGUCAUUCUUAGGCUCGCUGCUUUGUUAUUUAUUCAAGGGGCACUUACUGUGUGCCUCGCAGUUAGCAUCUCCUCUACUCUACCACUUGUAGUGUCAUAUUUACAUUACUAGUUUACUUGUCUAUCCUCCUCUUUAGACUGAGGGACCCUAAAGGCAGAGUAUCUGGUUCAUUGACGUCCUUAGUAUCUAGCAGACCUGGCAUGUGGUAGACAGGCCCUGGUCAACAUGUCAUGAGAGAAGUAGGGGAAAGGGUGUCGGGGUCCCCUGGCGUGAGGAGAUAUGGGCAUUCAGAGGAAUUCUUUCAGCAGGCCCCUUGUAGGGUGAAGGCCCGCCCAGCCCUUCCACCUUCUUUGAGGAUUAGGGUUUCCUAAAGUAAGGAGACCCUGGCGUCUUCAGCACCACCUAGCUCAUGACACUCCUCAGACCACAAGAUAUCCUUUCUGCACUUACCAGGGUCAUGAGCCUCAAAAUCUCAGGUCUGAGGAAGGAAUUCUCUCCAGCAUCCAACAGUGUAAACAGCAAAAACCGAUUCCAAGGCUGGGAGGCCACGUGAAGAGCUUCAACAAACACUGUGUUGUUAAUGCUUCCAAGGCCUUGCCUUGGGACACUGCUCAAGAGGACUUUCUACUAUUGGCUUAAAAAGGGGCUACCCAGUUAGAGACAGGGCACUGGAGAAGCUGACCCAAGGAGGGUUCUUUCUUUGCUGUGCUUCUAAUCCACCUAUGUUGGCUGGCUCAGUGAAACUAUAUACGCCAUGAUUGUGGAAGGCAGGUAGUAAGAAGGGCUCUGCCACUUAAGAGCAUUGUGACCUUGGUUGGGCACAUCAUUUGACCUCUCUGAACCUUAUUGAUCUCAUCUGUAUAAUGGGCAUGACUGCCCUUGCAGUGCUGCUAAAAGAAUUAAACAAAACAGGCCGG